CUGGGAUGGAGCUCCUGGCAGGGAGGGGCAGCCUCCAUCUCCACAGUUCACUCAACUCAGGCCUUCUAGCCUGUUGGCUUUGUAGAAUCCAAAUGGUCUGGAUGAGAAAGACUCCCCAUAAUGCAGCACAUCUGCUCUACCAAAAAGCAGAAAACUGCUUCUUUAAUCAGGUCCCUGAUCCUGUUCAUCCCAACUGGGUGAGACCUCCCAACAGGGUCUCCAGCCAUCUCCUACAGGUGUGUUCUGGCCAGCAACAGGUCAGUACCCCCCUGGAAUGGAGCUUCCAGAGGAAGAAGCUGGCUGCCAUCUUUGCUGUUUCACAGCCUCCACUGAUGAUACCUCCAGUAUGGGAAAAACCAAAGCAGCUAAGGUCUGAAGUGGACUUCCAGCAAACCACAGCAGCCCUACAAUAAAGUGGCCUGACUAUUAAAAGAAAAACAAACCAACAGAAAACAACAAAGUACAGUAUCGGUGAAAAGGACCCUGCAAAAUCCAAGGUCAAAGGUCAGCAACCUCAAAGAUUGAAGGUAUAAGCCCACAAAAAUGAGAAAGAAUCAACACAAAAAUGUUGAAAACUUAAAAAGCAGGAUGCCUCUUCUCCUCCAAAUGACUAUAACACCUCUCCAGCAAGGGCACAGAAUUGGGCUGAGGCUGAAAUAGCUAGAUUGACAGAAGUAGGGUUCAGAAGGUGGUAAUAAUGAACUUUGCUGAGAUAAAGAAGCAUGUUGUAACCCAAUGCAAAGAAGCUAAGAAUCAUGAUAAUACAGGAGCUGACAGCCAGAAUAACCAGUUUACAGAGGAACAUAAUCCACCUGAUGGAGCUGAAAAAUACAACACAAGAACUUCACAAUGCAAUUACAAGUAUCAGAGGGAGAACAGACCAAGUGGAAGAAGGAAUCUCAGAGUUUGAACACUAUCUUUCUUAAAUAAGAGGGGCAGACAAGAAUAGAGGGAAAAGAAUGAACAACACCCCCAAGAAAUAUGGGAUUAUAUAAAGAGACUGACCCAUGACUGAUUGGGGUACCUAAAAGAGAUAAGGAUAAUGGAGCCAAAUUGGAAAACACACUUCAGGAUAUGAUACAGAAGAUCUUUCCCAGCCUAGCAAGACACACCAACAUUCAAAUUCAGGAAAUGCAGAGAACCCCCAUAAGAUACACCAUGAGAAGAUAAACCCCAAGACACAUAAUCAUUGGAUUCUCCAAGGUUGAAAUGAACAAAAAAAAGUUAAGGGCAGCCAGAGAGAAUGACCAGGCCACCUACAAAGGGAAGCCUAUCAGACUAACAGCAGACCCGUCUGUGGAAACCUUAUAAAGUUAGAGUGGUUGGAAGCUAUUCUUUAACAUUUUUAAAGAAUCUCCAACCCAGAAUUUCGUAUCUGACCAAACUAAGCUUCAUAAGUGAAGAAGAAAUACGAUCCUUUUCAGACAAGCAAACACUUAGGAAAUUUGUCACCACCAGGACUGCCUUGCAAAAGCUCCUCUAGGAAGCACUAAAUAUGAAAAGAUAAAAACCAUUACCAGCCACUAAAAAACACAAUGAAGUACACAAACCAGUGACACUAUGAAGCA
rnacentral:lncRNA from 1 species